CUUCGGAGCUCUUUGCUGGAAAGCCCAACCGCCUGUUUUUCUGCAGGCCGGGAUUGCUGUGAGAGGGAAUGCGGAUUGCCCCCUGGAACAAGGCAAGACUCUGAUCGCCAUCAAAAUAAGAGGAUUGAGAAUAUGAGGCAAACGACAAUGGUCCGUCCUCUGGGGGUUCGCUUUCUGCGGUUUCGGGUACCUGCAGCCACGCCCAGUCGGGAAGCAGGUGAUCCAUCCUCCUCCUGACAAAUUGGCGGACGAUCCAUAGCGCCUAACGCCACGUCUCAGCGCCUUCCGUCGUCCACCUGCCUUCGUCUCAUUGUCUCAUCGCGUAGGCAUGUAAUCAUCUCACAUCACUGCAAGAAGGGCCUGUCCCAUGAGAACACUGGAACAUCUGGUUGAUGUCUGCACCUGGAAAAGGCUGAAGCAACCGACUGGCAAAAAUCCUGCACACAUGACUCUCAGCAUGGAUAUAGAUGAGAAAACUAAAGCUCAGAGAGGUCAAGCAACUUUCCCAGGACCCCUCGGCUAGUUAGUGCAAGAACUGAAUAUAAACCCACGUCUACCCACGCAACUCCAGCGCCUUCCCCCUAAAUCAACCUUUUUUUCUGGAUUGCUUGUUUUUUUUUUUGUUUUUUUUUUUUUUUUUUUUUUUUUUGUUCAUUGUGGAGACCUGAAGAAGAAUCCGGUGGUCCUCGGUCCUGAAAAGGGUCUACCAGAAUUCAGAGGAUCUUGUGUCUCUUGCAUUCAAAGCCAUGGCUCCUGGCAGCAGGGACCUGGGCCUCACCACGUGCACCACGCGUCGCUGGCUUCCAGGUGCCAGGGGCUUGGGCCGAGGCCACACAGUUGUCUGCACGGGGCCCGGCCCCACCGCUGGCUGUCUGGAGUGAGCGCCCGGGUUGGAUCCUCUCCGUCUGCCAGGCUGUUUCCCUCAUCCAUCUGCCUUGUUGGCUUUUAAUGCAGGCAGGAAACAAAACUGAAAAAAGAGGAAAUCGAUGCUUCACAGAAAAGGGACAACAUCUUCCUUUAGCCAGUGGGGGUGUGAGGAGGGGCGCGGUGACUAAGGUUUGCGGGGCGCUGUUCCCCGCUGGUGAGGGGCUACAGAAGCCAGCUGCGGAUCGGGCUGUGCCACCGGUGCCUGCGAGUGGCUGAUGCGGAGGCCUCUUGGCGGCUGGGGGAGGCGGCACGAGCUGUCAGCUCCGAGCAGGAAGCCAACCCAGCCCGCGGCACCCGGAGGGCGAACAGUUGAAUGAAACACACACUUGGUGAGGAUGUUCGGCUUACAGAUGUCACUAAGCUGAAGCCGUGAUCGCUAGGAGCCAAUAAAUCGCGGCUUGCGGCAUUGGACCCCACCGACCUGACGCUCUCUUUCCUCACCUGCGGCCGAGAAGGGAUACGGGAUAAGCCGCUUCUUGGCCACAAGUCCUGGGAAUACUAUUUUGUGUUUGGAAACUGCCAGAGAAUCACUGAUGAGCCAGUCCAUUGCGCCGAGUACGUUGGUCGUGGUGGGCUCCCUUCGGUGACUGAGGCGGAAGCCAGGGAGAGCACAAGUUCUGGUGGAAUGAACUUCACCCUUGCUUGGGAAUCAACAUGGGAAAUACAAUAGGGCGCAUUUGAGAAACAGUAUCCCCGAUGUCUACGAAAGGCCAGGCUGGCCGGGAGAAGCUACUUGCAGACUUCCACAGCCAGCACUCAGAAGUGGAGAACAUUGUUUUGGAGUCAAAGAGACGGGCCCCAGAGGCAGGCAGGAAGAGUAUCAGACUCAGCAACAUUGCCAGCUUCCACAAACCAGCUGAUGACCCAUGUGAGCCCAGAAUGGAAAAGACUGUCACAUGUUGGGUGCCUGGCCUGGACCUCACAUCAGGUGGUAUCGAUCCCAGAUUCGUCUCCCGAGGCCCUUCCAAUACGCUUACCUACCUGGAGCCUCUCGCUGGGACAGGCACAAAGAACAGGACCUAAGAAUUCCAUUUCUAAGAAUAAUUUUGUGUAAGGAAAACCUCCCAGUGAAAAUGGUCUGAUGAAAUGUGCUUAGUUUGGCUUUGGCCGAGCUCCUCGUCGUCCUAAACGAGUGCACAAAAACACGCACAAACAAUAUUUGCUGCUGCCUAAAAAGUGUAACCCCGCAUUUACGGCAAAAGCAAUGGAGGAGAUUGAGAAGUGGAGACCGGCCCCUAAGAAGAGCUCCGCUUACAGAAAAGAGGGCCGAAGGAGGUGUGGACUGCUGCCACCAAGCGGUGAGCCACGUAAGCCUGAUGGCUGCCAAGAGCCCUCACUUAUCGGGAACCCAGCCUGGUCCCUGGGGAAGGUGGACAGGAAGAGGAGGAAAGUGAAGAAGACGCCAGUGCCGCCAAAGUCACCGUUAGGAAAAGACGCGUCCUAAAGCCGAAUGCGCUUUUUUUUCGGAGAACGCCGCAUCGGGACCUCAUUGGUGCUGUUUUAAGGCCCGAUUCUAACAAGCUUAGUUUUCAAACCCUACAGCACGUUAGAAUCAAGGAAUUAGCACGCGAAGAAAGCCAGUGAACACACUACAUAUUUAUUUUAGUCUUAACAAACACCAGUAGCAACCAACGCGACACUGGUUACGGACUCAACUUUAAGGAUGAUGAAACAGGUUCAGAGAAGGUCAGCCAGUAAGUGAUCAAGUCUGUCUUCACAUUCAGGGUUCUGGCCUCAGAGCUCAUGUCUCUUCCUUUUCUCCCCCUCGCCUUUCCAAAGACAGGCACGCCGAGAAGCAAGCCUUCAUGGCAGCACAAUGACAGGACAAGGGCGGGAGACAGCAUGGAAUCAGUAUUGAAAAUUUGCCGCACCCUGGGAUGAUCCGGUAUAGAGGAAAAUGGCCUCCUCGGUUCCCAAAUGCGUCUGUUUUAGAGGAUAGUCGUCAUUGAUUUGCAUCAAUAUGUCCAAAUGCGCCAACUUUCUCGGUGUAAAGAGUAGGGAGAAAGAAUCCUGGGGGGGAUACAGGUUCAGGGGAUCCAGGCGUAGCUUUGCCUUUCACUGGCUGUGGGAACGUAGCCAUGUUACAUCACCUCAUCGCGCCUCUGUUUCCUCAUCUGAAAAAUUAACAUAAUUAUUCCGCCUACCUCAUGGAGCUGGUUCAGGAGGAUUCAAUGAGGCAAUUCGUAGAAAUAGUUAAAGCUGUACCUGACGCUUAGGAGGCAUGACUUAUGAAGCAUAGACGCUUUAGAGAGGUAAACGCUUACCUCCCGAAAGGACUAAAUCUGACUUCUUAUUUAAAUUGCUCAUCUGUCCAUUCAUUCAUUCAACACACAUUCACUAAGUCCAUAUUAUGAGCCAGCAGCGGGUGGCCACCAGGCAAACAAAUAUAAAUAAAUUACCGCUCUUCACCAGUAGGAGCUCAGACGUGUAAACAACAAAUCUGCCGCGAUGAGGGAGGUGCUGGGAGAGCAUUUCUGCGGGAACACGGAUACGGGAACGUGCAGCCUCCUACCUCGCCCUGGAGGAGUCAGGAUGGCCGCCCGGAAGUGAGGUUCCACAGAAGGUGAAGAGGGAAAGGGCAUUCCAAUGGAGGACACAGCAUGUUUAAGCAAAGACCCAAAUGGAGGAAGAGCAGACCCCUAUGGAGUAGGAGUCAUCAUAAUUCCCAUAUUUCAGAAGAGGAAACAGAAGAGUAGAGAGUUUAAGGACUAUACUCAGAUUACACAGCUGGUGAGUGCUGGACCUGGGAUUCACCCUGUGACCAUGUAAACACAACGUUGCCCUGGUUGUGAAUAAAUAGCAGUAACAAGAACAAAGACUUCUGACUUUUCAGGUGAAAUCCGUCUUGGGACCCAUAACCCACUUGGUUUCAACCCCUGAGAGACAGUUUUCUGGUACCAGUCUAGACCACUUGGCAUUGAAGCAAAUAGGAACAUACUUACACUCACAUUCACACACGCACGCACACAUAUGCUCCCAGGCCCACUUUGGAGUGGACUUACCCCCUUUCUGAGGCCUGAACUUAUACCUACUGAAGAACACAAUGCAAAGGCGGUAAAAUGUGGUGGUUUCUCAAGCAAUUCUCUAUUAUGAAAUGGAAUGAGAACGUUGCCAUGAUGUAAAUUCCAGGGAUAUUACAUGAAAGAGCCAGCUACUGUUUUGUAUAGUGAUUGGUCCUCCUUGGAAGAAUUUCAAAUGGUUAUUAUUCAUUGGCAUAGCCUCGGGGAAGAUGAGGGGGAUGAAAAAAAAUUGUAAGUGAGAGCCCUUGAGGCUUUUUAUCAGGCACCACCUUGUCAUAAACACAAUGAGAUUGGGUUUCCUGGGUGUUCUCAGGGCUCAUUAUGCAACAAGCCCCUGGCUCUGUCCUUCCCAGAAAAAGUCCAGAAGCCACUCUUGCAAUGUAGUCUCCCCGCUGACCUCAGCAGGGCAUGGACAGCCAGGGCUCGGAGUGUGAUUCUCAUAGUCCUGGGAUGGAAAGAGGACUCAGUGUGGAAGGGAAAACAAUGAAGGAGAACACACCAUCAGGCGACUGUGUCCACCACCUCCUUCUCCUACCAUUUCUCGGAUUCCUGACCUCAGCCGUGGGCAGCAGUAGCCUUUGUAAGGAGAAAACCAAGACUCAAGCUCUAAUGAAUGGACUGACAGGUGAUUCAAAAGAGGUGUCCUACUCCUUUUAUCAUGUGAGAAUGGAAGUCUUCAACCAGAAGAGGACCCUCACCCCCUCACCCAACCAUACUGGCACCUUGAUCUUGGACUUCCAGCCUCCAGAACUGUGAAAAAUAGAUUUCUGUGGUUUAUAAGCCAAAAAAAAAAAGGUAUUAUAUGGAAUAUGUCAACCAGAAAUGUGAAGAACCAAAAAAAUGGGGAAGAAGUCAUGAAAAGAGACUUAUCGUUAGUGAAAGGAAAAUGACAACCCUGAGAGGGGAGGGGUUGGCUGUGGCUGAUACACCACAACCUGCCACGUCAGUGACAGCAGUGCUGUGAGAAUAGGCAAGUCCCCAAAUCGCACUGGUUUGGCAUCACGUUUAUUGUUUGCUUAAAGACCAGUCUCAGGGAAUCCUUUGCUAACAGCCUUCCACACAGAAUUUCACGGAGCCAGCCAGAUGAUGGAGGGUGACAGAGAACUUGCAACAUCACGGGUGUUCAUGGGCCAGGCCCGAGUGUCACACAUCACUCUCGCCUACAUUCCUGACCUGGAACCGAGCCAGCGUGGACCCACGCAGAUACCAGGACAGCCACUUCCCAGCCAUGACUCUACGCUGUAGAAGGGAAGCCUGAAUCUUCAGUGGGUAGCCGGUGCCUUCACCACACCUGCACGCAUAUUACGAUAUAACGAAUGAACUUCAAAAGAUUGAGAGAGUCCCACUCUCCAAUCAGUCACUCAUUUCAAGGAAGCACUCACAUGGCAUGCGAUUUACAGCAGGACUGCUUUAUCCCGAGGGUCAAACCACUGAGAAGGGAACCUGUGAGUUUACUGUAAUUUGUGACCUAAAUUAUGUUUCUUGUGAAUACCACUCUUUUUAUGGUGCUCUAAUUUUGAAACAUUUUCUGUUAGAUCCUAGGUGCCUGGAAAUGUUACUGUAUUAAUCACUUUCAGAAUUAGCAUUUUUUUAAUGGUAAAUCGAAGUUUGUCAGGAUGCUUUAUUACGGUAUCGUGGACACUUCCUUUGGUUGAUAUAUAUUGUAGAGACGUGACAAAGACAGUAAGACUCAUAUCCGUAUCUAUGUGGUGUCUGUGUUUUUAAGACACUUCAAAUUAAAAAGGGGUUUGCAUUUAAUGAAUCUUUAAAUGAUUUCCUUUGUGUCUUGAGCUGUCAUCCUGAUCAUUUGCCCUGUAGUUCUUGUUAAGCAGCAGUAGCAGAAGCCCUCAGACAUAGAAUAGAGGGGGCUAUCUUCUGUCCGCCUGGAAUGUGUUCAUCUGUGGUCAUGAGGGGUCCUCUGUAAGCAGAUAGUGGGAGCAGGGCAUUACCAAA